CUUUCGGGCUUCGACCGGCGUACGGGUGCGUAACGCGUAUACAAUCUGCCUUUCACAUAGGGAUAGCCCGAAGAAAUUUGGAUUAAUACCUAAUGGUAUAUAGGAGUGGCAUCACAUUUAUAUUAAAGCUGAGGCGGUGAAAGAUGAGUAUGCGUUCUAUUAGCUAGUUGGAGAGGUAACGGCUCCCCAAGGCGACGAUAGAUAGGGGUUCUGAGAGGGAUAUCCCCCACACUGGUACUGAGAUACGGACCAGACUCCUACGGGAGGCAGCAGUGAGGAAUAUUGGACAAUGGUCGGAAGACUGAUCCAGCCAUGCCGCGUGCAGGAAGACGGCCUUAUGGGUUGUAAACUGCUUUUGCAGGGGAAGAAUAAGGAGUACGUGUACUUUGAUGACGGUACUCUGCGAAUAAGCAUCGGCUAACUCCGUGCCAGCAGCCGCGGUAAUACGGAGGAUGCGAGCGUUAUCCGGAAUCAUUGGGUUUAAAGGGUCCGUAGGCGGGCUAAUAAGUCAGAGGUGAAAGCGCUCAGCUCAACUGAGCAACUGCCUUUGAAACUGUUAGUCUUGAAUGGUUGUGAAGUAGUUGGAAUGUGUAGUGUAGCGGUGAAAUGCUUAGAUAUUACACAGAACACCGAUAGCGAAGGCAUAUUACUAACAAUUAAUUGACGCUGAUGGACGAAAGCGUGGGGAGCGAACAGGAUUAGAUANCCUGGUAGUCCACGCUGUAAACGAUGGAUACUAGCUGUUUGGUUGUUAAGACUGAGUG
rnacentral:rRNA from 1 species